rnacentral:rRNA from 1 species
UACGUAGGGGGCUAGCGUUGUCCGGAAUCAUUGGGCGUAAAGAGCGCGUAGGCGGCCCGGUAAGUCCGCUGUAAAAGUCCAGGGCUCAACCCUGGAAAGCCGGUGGAUACUGUCGGGCUCGAGUCCGGAAGAGGCGAGUGGAAUUCCUGGUGUAGCGGUGGAAUGCGCAGAUAUCAGGAGGAACACCAAUGGCGAAGGCAGCUCGCUGGGACGGUACUGACGCUGAGGCGCGAAAGCGUGGGGAGCGAACAGG